AACACUCUUUUCUCUGGUUAAAUGGAUACCUGGCUUUAUGGUGAAGUUUGGUUGUGCGCUGCAUUAACAUUCACAAGAUGCAGGAGUUGCAUCGCUGUUUAUCAGGAGAUGAACACUCUUUGCUCUGCAAUUCAGAGAAAGCAUUGUCAUAACCGUGUGCAAGUAGGUGCUUGAUAGAAGAUCUUAGAGAAGAGAUUGAGUUAGAGGAUUUCAUGGCUGAAAGGACCUUCAAGAUCAUCAGAAUCCGCCACGUCAAAUGGCGCUGGUCCAGCAGCGGGAGGACGGGAAGACUCCAAUUACAGACCUUGAUGCCAUUCUGCCCGUGCAGUGAGCCCAGUAACACAGAAAUAAAUGCAGCUGCCAAUGCCAGCCCCACCCUGCCUCCCUUUUCCU
rnacentral:lncRNA from 1 species